rnacentral:rRNA from 1 species
UACGUAGGGUGCAAGCGUUGUCCGGAAUUAUUGGGCGUAAAGAGCUCGUAGGCGGUGUGUCACGUCGAUCGUGAAAACUUGGGGCUUAACUCUGAGCUUGCGGUCGAUACGGGCAUCACUGGAGUUCGGCAGGGGAGACUGGAAUUCCUGGUGUAGCGGUGAAAUGCGCAGAUAUCAGGAGGAACACCGGUGGCGAAAGCGACACACUGGGUCUCAACUGACGCUGAGGCACGAAAGCCAGGGGAGCAAACGGG